rnacentral:misc_RNA from 1 species
UUUCCGUAGGUGAACCUGCGGAAGGAUCAUUACAGAGUAUCGUGCCCUAACGGGUAGAUCUCCCACCCUUGUGUAUUUAUACCAUGUUGCUUUGGCGAGCCGCGCAGCUUCGGCUAUGCCUUGGGCUUUCGAGCCUAGGUGUGCUCGCCGGAGGAAACUUAAACUCUGAUUAUUUUUGUCGUCUGAGUACUAUAUCAAUAGUUAAAACUUUCAACAACGGAUCUCUUGGUUCUGGCAUCGAUGAAGAACGCAGC